UACGUAGGGAGCAAGCGUUGUCCGGAAUCAUUGGGCGUAAAGCGCGCGUAGGUGGCCUCAUAAGUCCGCUGUGAAAGUCAAAGGCUCAACCUUUGAAAGCCGGUGGAUACUGUGAGGCUAGAGUACGGAAGAGGCGAGUGGAAUUCCUGGUGUAGCGGUGAAAUGCGUAGAGAUCAGGAGGAACACCCGUGGCGAAGGCGGCCCUCUGGCUCGACCCUGACGCUGAGGCGCGAAAGCGUGGGGAGCGAACGGG
rnacentral:rRNA from 1 species